rnacentral:rRNA from 1 species
CACGUAGUUAGCCGGGGCUUCUUAGUCAGGUACCGUCAUUUUCUUCCUUGCUGAUAGAGCUUUACAUACCGAAAUACUUCCUCACUCACGCGGCGUCGCUGCAUCAGGGUUUCCCCCAUUGUGCAAUAUUCCCCACUGCUGCCUCCCGUAGGAGUUUGGGCCGUGUCUCAGUCCCAAUGUGGCCGGUCGCCCUCUCAGGUCGGCUACUGAUCGUCGGCUUGGUAGGCUUCUACCCCACCAACUACCUAAUCAGACGCGGGCCCAUCUUACACCACCUCAGUUUUUACCACUGUACCAUGCAGUACCGUGGUCUUAUGCGGUAUUAGCAAUCAUUUCUAAUUGUUAUCCCCCUGUGUAAGGCAGGUUGCCCACGCGUUACUCACCCGUCCGCCGCUAAGUCACCCUCUCUUCCCUCCGAAGAGUUCUAAAAAAGUGCUUCGCUCGACUUGCAUGUGUUAAGCACGCCGCCAGCGUCAUCUGAGCCAGGAUCAAACUACU